UGAAGUAAAGUCGUACCAAGGUCUCCGUUGGUGAACCAGCGGAGGGAUCAUUACCGAAGUUACUCUUCAAAACCCUUUGUGGACCCUACCCCCGCCGGCGGCGCCAAACUCUUAUUUUGCACAGCGGACUGUACGUCUGAUUUUGGUAAUAAAACAAGUCAAAACUUUCAACAACGGAUCUCUUGGUUCUGGCAUCGAUGAAGAACGCAGCGAAAUGCGAUAAGUAAUGUGAAUUGCAGAAUUCAGUGAAUCAUCGAAUCUUUGAACGCACAUUGCGCCCGGCAGUAAUCUGCCGGGCAUGCCUGUCCGAGCGUCAUUUCUCCCCUCGACCCCGGCUCUGCCGCGGCGUCGGUGUUGGGGCGCUACGGGGAGCCUCGCGCUCGACCCCGUAGGCCCCGAAAUGAAGUGGCGGUCCCGCCGCGGCGCCCCCUGCGUAGUAGCUCUUACAACUCGCAUCGGGGUCCCGGCGGAGGCCAGCCGUCAAACCCCCCCAAUUAUGAAUGUUUGACCUCGGAUCAGGUAGGGUUACCCGCUGAACUUAAGCAUAUCAAUAA
rnacentral:misc_RNA from 1 species